rnacentral:lncRNA from 1 species
CUCUUUCAGGAAUAGGAAAACUAUAGAGCUGGUCCCUAUUCUGUCACUAACUUCUGCCUGGAAUGUUCCCUUCCCUACAUGGGCUGGAUCCUUUCAGCAUUCCAUCUCAACUGAAAUGUCACCUCCACAGAGAAGCUUUCUCUGAUCACCCAAGAUGGGGAAACUGAGAUGCAAAGAAGUUAAGUAAUUCACCUUGAGAAGUGACAGAACCAGGAUGCAAACUCAGGAAUGUAGCUAUGGGAUCUGCUUUUUUAUUAUCCAUGCUAUACCUCCUCUUAAGGUGCCUCCCAUUGGCUGAAAUCAAACGGAAGCUGGCAGACAAGGGAGCCAGCUGACAAGGUAUUGGAUCAGCAUCCCAGAGCAUGGAACAAGACAGAGAAAGGGCACCAUGUUGACAAGAGGAUUUGAUCUGCAGUCGAUCCUGACUUGAGCACUCACUAGCUGUGUAUUCCAAGACCAGUCACUUAAUCUUUCUGGGCCUCAGAUUCCUCAUGUGACACUAUCACAUACAAUUUGAAAACCACACGUCUCCUCAUUUUAUUCACGUGACAUCAUGACAGUUGGAGACCAGAGAGGUGAAGUGAUGCGCCUCAGAUCACACAGAACUGGCUCCCAUGACGUGGAGGCCAGAAGUCCCAAGAUUUGCAGUCCAGAGGCCUGAGAACCGGGAAAGCUGAUGGUCUAAGUUCCAGUUUGCAUCAUUCGAGUUCAAAAGUAGGAGAAGACCAGUGUCCCAGCUUGGAGACCGUCAGGCAGGGAAGACUCCCUCCUCUGGCCAUCCCUGCAAUCCUAAAGAGCUAGGAUGGCACCGGGUAUGAGAAUAAAAGGUAAGCCUCUGUCUGGUUCAGAGACUUUCUGCAGUCAGUGGAUGACAAAGAUCGUGCAAGGGUAAGCUUAAGAAUAAAAGGGGUAUCAUACCCACUCUUUGUAUAGCAGCACAAAGAGAAGAAUGCUUUAAAAUGUAGACCAAAUCACAUCACUCUAAGAAUAAAUCCUUACCUUGGGC